ACUAACUUGAUUAAUUCGACAUAAAUUAUAUCAAACGUUGCUAUAACGAAAGAAAUUAUAUCUAAUAUAAAUUAUUAACGUAGAGAAAUAGAUCUUAGAAAACAUUAUUUAAUCAUAGGCAAUAAAUGAAAUCAUAAGGAAAAAUUCUUUAAGGAUUAUCCAAUAAUCCUUAAAUAAUUCUAUAAGGUUAUCCAACUUUUUUCAAUAUCGAACGAGUGACAUCUCAAAAGAAAGACGAAGACAGAAAGGGUGGGAUGUCCGUCAAAUUUCUAUGAUUCGUAAUGCAAAGAGAAAUCGUACGUGGGUCGAAGGUGUCUAAGCUGAAGGGAAGAAGGAAAUCUAAUUAUAGAAGUCGUUGUGCCGCGUGCUGAAGGUGGUAGUAGGGUGUGAGUGCGGGUGCAGAAACGAGAAUCGGUUGCAUUGGGCGGCCAUAAAAUGCAGGCUGCAUCCGCUCGGCGCAGAUGUACUCAGACGGAGGUUCUCCUGUACUACGAGGAGGAGACCGAAAGGAUUUUUCUUCUUUCGUGGCCCUCUGGCCCACCAAAUAUUAAAGGGCAACGAACUCGGAAGGACUACCAGGGAAGAUUCAUAAACUCUUCCUCUUUAUGACAUCAAUGUCAAACAUGUUCACGAUUACUGAACGACUAGAAAAUUCAGUAUAAAUCGUGACAAGGACAUUGACUGUUUAAUUUUCUAAUAAAUUUCAAUUUAAUUCGAUUCACAAAGAGAAAAUGAAAAUUAUGAAUAUUCUCCAUUUUAUAAUAAAAACAUCCUCCGAAGGACACAGUUUAUUGUCUUGUAGUUAGUGAUCUUUUUUAUUGGUUGUCGCGUCUAUUCAUUGAGAAGCCAUGUGGUUAACUGCAGUGUUUCCUGUCUUAAUUACCAUGAUAAAAAAUGAUGGAUGUUAAAGAGAGUUUCGUUCGAAAACAUCGCAGGCAAUCUCAUUUACAAUAUAAUAAUCUAGGUCAAUCGAAGAUGAAGAAUCGACAGAUACAUUUUUUUAGAUCAAAAUCUAAAACCUCGUAAUUUCUUUUCAUUUUUCAGACGACUCAAGCAAUUAACUCUUUCAUUUUCCCUCAUCGUCGUCGUCGAUCUUUACCGAAGUAAACACGAGGCCUCCCUCGAAACAACAGCUGUGGGAUAUCGCACACGAUCGACUCGUGCCGGGCAAGUCGCGAUUAUUAUUGUUUCCUUUUCUUUUCCCUUCCUUUUUUUUUGUUGCUUUCUUCUCUGAAAGUAGCCGAGCGUGUGCCCAUGACGUGGCCAUGUAAGGGCUAGGCGGGGGUGCUGCUCUUGCUAAUUUUAGAUCGACUCCAGGGCUCCAGGAGUCAGCGAUGGAUCGGCAGCUGGUGAUUCGAGUUGGUUCAUAGCCUUGCACGUGGGUCUUUCUACUUCGGAACGUGUCUCACCGUUCACGAACGACGGACAUCUCUCUCCCUCUCUUUCUCCCCCUCCCUAUUUCUUUCUCUCUCUUAUUUUCUUCCCCUCCUAAUGUCGUUUCUCUUGUAGAAACUCGUUGUGUCCAGUAGCUUUGAUCCAGAUGCGUUUAGCAUCCGAUCUCAAGAGACUUCCGUAUCUCGGUGAAGGGUGAUAAUUUUAAAAAUUUCCCUUCCUGAAUCGAACGGAUGUAACUUCGGUUGAGUAUUUCCAAUAUUUACGAUUUACAAAUCCUUCGUUUUAAACGAUAACACACGAAAUAAUAAAUAAUCAAUUAAAUCUAAUGUAAAUAUUGUAAAUUAUGAAUGAUAGAUAAUGUUGUUUUAAUAGAUAGUAAUAUUGAUUUAAGAGAAGGAAGAAAGUCCUCUUAGUGCGCUUAAUGAAGAUCGAUAAAGUCGAAAGAGGAAGAGGAAGGAGAUAGCAAAAGGGUGAAAGAGAUAAAAUUGUAAAGAGGGAUGAAGUGGAAAGAGCUUUUCUUCGUUCGAGCCAAACCAUCGUUGUGAGGAAGAAGUACAGAGAAGGAAGCACCUCAGCGGAUGUGAUGUUUAGGACAUGGCCGUACAAAAAAUGCCUCCCGUAUAAAUAUAGACGAUGGUGGUUGCCAUCGUAAUGGUUGUGGUUGUGAUAGUGCUGCUGGUGGUGGUGACUGCUUACCAAUCGAAAUUUCUCUUUGACCCACAUUCCGAGAUUGAUUAUUUACAAAGGGUCACGGUGUUCCUGUUUUCGUUUCUCUUGGUUGUCUUCUCCUUCAUCUGCAUUGAUUUAUGUGAAAUAUGGAAUAAAAAAAUUAGGGGGAGAGAGAGAGAGAGAGAGAGAGAGAAAGAGAGAGAAAGAGAGAGAAAGAGGGAGAGAGAAAAUUAUUGAAAACAUUGAAAUGUAUUUUAAAGAAAAGAAAAGAAAAAGAGAAAAGAACAAGAAAUGGACGAACUUGUUUGAGUGAGUUCGAUUUCACACCGGUUAGAGAAAAAAGCAUACCAACCGGCUUCUUCUCAAAUUACUUUAGACAAAUCUCUUCUUUGACCCAAAAGCAACCUGCUACUACUACUACUACUACCCGAAGAAAAGCUUAGAAAAUAUGGAAUCCCUUGUAAAAACUCUGAAAACACAUUGAGCCGAGUGUAAGGUGAAAGACGGUGGCUCCCGAAAAGAAAAAAUAAAUGAGACGUAUACGUGUAAUCGACACGUGCUACGUUAACCUCGUUGUAUGUUUUUUCUUUUUUUUUUGUUCUUUUUUUUUUCUUUUUUUUUUUAUGUCUAUUAAAGAAAUAACGUUGAUUCACAAUGUCUUUGAGAAAUGGUCAAUGAAUGAGAAUAAAGAUUAUUAUCAAGUAGGUGAAAGACAUCGUCAAAUCACUUUCUUUCUCGAUUCAUUUCAAUGCACUCGACACGUGGUUAGCGAUUCUGGGGCUCCUGCUGAGAUAAAGACCUCCCAGUGGCUUUCGACCACCAUGUGCAUCGAAAGUCAGUGAAAUCCCUUGAAGAUUUUCGAAUUGUCCUCUCGGUUCGUCGUCUCUAUUACCAAAACCGAAGUGAAGGAUCGGACAAAAAAACAGAAAGACCAACGCACGGAUCGCACCUCCUCGAUGUAUGCAUGUACGUGUACAUGCAUAUAUACAUGCAUAUAUACAUACAUACAUCCAUACAACAUAAUAUAUAGUACAUAUAUAUAUACUCUCGUUAAGAUUCUACAUAGAUAUUCUUUCUAGUCACGUACGCUUUCUUCGUGGGAGAGAUCGAAAGAAAUCUUUUUUUGACUAGUCAAAGAUAACUUCGUACUCAAAAGAGGACCAAAAGAAAAAAAAAAAUACACCAGAAAAAAAGAUCAAUUAGACGACUAAUAAGGGAAUUGUACGGAACUCAAGGAUCGAGUAUUAAAAAAUUACGUUUGAACGAGUUAACGUAAUGAAUCGAGGAAAGGACUCGGCACUAAUGGGUUAAUACGAGCAUGGUCAACGUGAUUGAAAAAGCAAAGUGGUAGGAGAAGGUAUACCCUCUCUUCUUGGGGUAUCACCUGCUCCUAUUGUUUGACCGACCAAAGUGAACCGGCGUCCGGUGCGCAACCGAGUUUAGCCGGGCGCGUGCUCGUCGUGUUGGCUCGUAGAGAAAUCUGACACUCUUACUUUUACGACACUUUGCAUGGUACGUAUACUUUCAAAAUGCAACGUAAAAAUCAUGCCCCAGUUUUGAUGCAGAUGUCCGUAGGUUUAGCAUAUAUAAUUAUUGUUAAAUCCUAUAAGAGACGUCUUUGUUUAAAAAUCAAAUGAUUUAAACAUCAUAGUUUUCAUAUCUAAUAUAUCGUAAAGCCAUUUAGGUUGAAAGAUCAUACCCAAUCGAUGGACAAAUUUAGAAGCUUCGAAAAUAUACGUGACCUAAGGUAAAAAAAAAUUUCUUAUAAUCAUAUGUUUAUCUUAUUCUAUCGGUAUACUUUGAAGUGAAUGAAACUUACGUCGACAGGAUAAUGAGCUGGAUAAUCGAAAUUUACAGCGAUAUAAAAUAAUACACUAACUGUCACCUGUGGUUCAGGAUAUGACUCUGUAGGUACGCUCCAAACUACUUCAUAUUUGUAAUAAUUUGUAUUAUUUCCGGCAGAAAGACUAAUGAAUUCUACAUUGAACAUCCAAUCUUUUAACUCCUAAAACGUGUAUCAACUAUGUAAGAUAUGUUUCGUUAUACUUUUUGGCUAGAUUUUUAUCAUCAAAUGUACCGGCAAAUUAUUCCAUGCUUGCAUUUCGUUCUUAAUACUGUUUAUAAUAUUGUUGACACUGAUACUACCACAAGUGUGCCAUUCGACACCAAAAGGACUCAGCGAUCUAGUGACGAUAGCAUUUCUUCGUUUUAUUAUAUCAGAACUGUCGUCCUAAAGUAUUGAGUUCCCUUGCAUGAUUAAUUUCAUAAAAAGAAAACACAUAUGCUUUUUAACAAACCAUAUCACUUAUUAUCCUCAUAGCUUUCAUAAUCGCUGUGUUAAUGAACUGGCGAACAAAGUUCUUUAUAUUGAAACGCGAUUCCAAGUCGUAAUCUUCAAUCAAUGAUAGAAAAUUAUAUGUCAUAAUGUUGAUAAUUUUUGUUGAUUAUAAAUCGAUACAAGAUCUUUCGAACUUUAGUACGUUUAUUUUUGGUUCUUUCUCAUAAAUAAUCUUUAACGUCAUUUCUGUGUUAUUAGAAGCAAGACAUGACAAAAAGAAAGAAAAGAAAAAAUAUAAAAUAAGAAAAAAACGACGAUCUCGUAUUUUUGCUUCCAUUAAUUUUUUUUUGUUUCUGCCCACCUCUCUCUCUCUCCCUCUCUCUCUCUCUCUCUAAUUUAUACUACACAAUACAUCCAUAAGGUUAUUAAAAUUUGUAAGAGCUCUUAUAUACGUUUAGGCAAGUUGUUGUCAAUAAUACUAAAAUGCUUAUAAAUUAACAGUCAGUUUUCGAAUGAUUAGAAUGAUCUUGCUGUGCGCGUGCUGACUUCGCGGAUGCCUCUAGAUCUGUUACAGACGUUAGAACUUGAAAUAAACUCCUCAUGAGUUUUUUGAAGAUUUCGACCAUUUCAUCGUCCGUUCGGGUGACCACGAAAAUAUCUAACGAGAUAUAAAAAGAAAGAAAAAGAUUAAACAUUUUGACGAAGAAAGGAACGAUUAUUUUUCUAACGAUUAAUUUACCAGAUCUAUCUUGUCCCAAAUGUUUGCAAUACAUGUUGACAGCUGUUGUUACGUCGUCGUCAUCAUGGAACGGAUCUCCAGGCCAUUGUGCUCUGUGUAAUCGUACAGCUUCCAAAGCUGGACACCAUCGUGCAUUCCUAAGUAGUUCAGCGACUCUGGCCAUGUCCUCGACGGCAUCAACAGCCGGCAAAGGACUAGGACUAGGUGUUGGAGUCGGUGUACCUCGUUCACUUUCCGUACUUUCUUCCAAAGCUCUGCUCAAUGCCGUCUUCAUGUUAGCUAUUUCCGCUGAUAUAUCUUGCAAAGGAAUCUGUACGUUUCUUGCGGCAAUCAUAAGUAGUCCCAACAUUUUGUUCGACGCCUUUAUCAAUAGUAAUAAUUGAAGAUGCAACUUAUAAAGUGUCCUCCCUAGGUCCAAGAGCAUCUCCUCAAAACCAGCUUCCAUCGUUGUACUACCACCUAAUGCAUGAAGUAUUUUCGUUGCUUUUACUGCUUCCAAACACUGUAAUCAAAUUAAAAGUUGAUAAAGUAAAAUUAAAAAUUAAAAAAAGAUAAAUAAACUCAACUCAUUUAGAAAUUAUUUACCUCUGUAGCGUGGUAUUUUCUGUCAGGAAACGUUUCGAGAUGUUGUUGUAUCUCCAACAUUUCGAAACGUAAAGAUUCGUGCAAUCUUUGAUGUGAAAAAAUGGAAAGCGAGAACCAAACUAACGGUGGUUCGGCUUUCGCGCUAAGUAGUUCAGCAUGACUAGAUAAAUGAUAUCCUAAUUGUUUAAAAGCAGGACUGCCAUUGGAUAAUAGAGCGCAUGCUUCCCGAGUGAGACCCACAGAUUUACUGCUUACAUCCUAAUAAUAUCGAAGAUAAAGAACAAAAUGUUCUCUAACAUUGAAACUACGUGUCUAUUUAGAGACGAAUUAACGAUAUAAUUACCCUUAUAAUUCUACUUAAUAAUUGGAAAAAAUCUAGUGUCGUAAAGGGUGCCUGAGUGAUCAGAGCUUGAAUUUGUUGUCGCCAAAUUUCUUCAGCGUCAUCUCUUACGACUUGUCUGAAUGGAAUCAAAGCAGACAGAUUCGGUGAUGCGUUACAAGGUGUCACAUCUCCGAGAUCUCCUGCGCUGGAACCACUGUAGGAAAAUGAAUGAAACAAUUAGAGAAAUAAUUCGUCAGAACUCUUAUUUAGAAACUUACGACGUGUCAGACCUUGUAGAUGAAUCGUGACGUGUUCUACUCGGUAUUGAAAGAGAAGAAGGUGGAAACAUUCCUGGAAUACUGUUUGCUUCUUGUCCUGUUCCAGAUCCACUAGGUACUUCGUCCAAAGGUGAUUCCGAACCAGCUUCAUCGUCAGACGAUUCUUCAGCGACUCCACGCUAAUCGUAAUAAUAUUAUUAUGCUUUGAUACGAUACAACUGACGUAAAUCUUUGAAAUAUUUACUCUAGUAGUGUGCUUGCUCGAUGUUUGUGUUUUUUCACUCAAACUUUCCUCAAACUGUCGUAGACUAGGUUCUCUUUCCUCUCCUUCACUGAGAGGACGACGUCUAACGCCCCAGUUAAAGUUAUCCGUACUUUCACCCUAUAAUGUAUAAUAAAAAUAAGAAAAAAUUCUUCACGAAUAUUGAUAAUCGUUUAAAACAGUUUCAAUUACCUCGACACUUUCACUCUCAUAUUCGAGAAAAUCAAAGUCCUUGAACACUCCAAAUUGUUCGUCAUCCCUUCGAGAACCUCCACUUAAAUCAUUAUUUGCACCAGAAACUUCCUCGGUUGAUGAAGCCAUUGAAGACUGCCUCUCCAUUAAGUCAGAACUUUGACUGAAUAUCACCUACAUUUGAAUACAAUUACAUUUAUUAAAAAGAUUACAAAAAAUUGAAUUUAAAUAUUUGUUAUCUCCUUUAAUAUCUAUUAUCGGCAAAACUAUUCUGCUUAUGUGCACUUUUCGUGUUCAAUCAUUAGUCGAUGUUUGUGUCUAAGCAUCGAUUCAAUUUUGCUAUAUGCAAGUGUCUACAUUUACAUUCAAGCGUGUACGUUUGAUUGACUUAUUUUUUUUUCUCUCUUUUUUUCGUGACAUUCGAACGAUCUGUUUCACUUUUAGGUGCGAAUUGUAUUUAUAAAAACCUUUUACCUUGCUAUAUAAUGUCAUUGAACUAAUGUGUUCAUCCUAAAAAAGGAUAUAAUGGAAAUGAAUUUUCAUGAGGAAUAGCUAUUAUUAACUAUCGAGCUGGUAGGGAGGGAAAAUCAAGUUUUAAAUGCAAAAUAAUAAAAAUGUUAAUACUAACCGAUGGGCUCUUCGGUAAUCCUACCCUUUGUCCGCACGUUGUUAACAAGUUCACUAAACAUUCUCUAACACGACCCUACAGAAUACAAGAUAUUAUUUUACAUAUCUAACAAAUAUAAAAUAAUAUUUAUAACAAACCUGUGACAUCCAAGGCCUUUUCCAUCCAGAAACGGCAGUACUUUCUGCCGGUGAAAGAGACAUUGAACAUCGCGGCGAACCUGAAGACUUUUCUUCGUUACCCUGUCGUAUCAACCAUCUUCUUCCAAUCACAGGUGUUUGAGAAAGAUCAAAUGUGAAAUCCAUUGUCCGGCCUGUUAUAAAAUUAUGGUAACAAUUAUAUCAAUUUAUUGCACGUGUAUAAAUCGUUGUAAGAAGAAAAAGAAAAAAAAAAAAAAGAGAUUGAAAACGCCCGAUGUUUAAAUAUGUAAAUAUAAAUCUAAAAUAAAAAUAUAAAUCUAAAAUAAAAAAUUAAGAAAAUAGACAUUUUAAUAAUAGCGUAAAAAUUAAAUCAAGAAGAAAUUUUCAAAAGGAAAUUUCUAUAGAAAAAUCAUAUUAAGUUUAUUUGACUACUAGCUACACAUUAUGGUUAUUAUUUUUAUCGCAACCUGAGUGUUGAUAAAUAAGUAAUCCGAUCAGUGAGAGCAAAUGCCGCGUUGCAAAAAAAAAAAGAAAUCAAAUUUAUAUUCAUUACGUAUUUACUGCAUGCAAGAAUACGAGUAUAUAAUAAUGUAAGAGUAACCUACCAGGUAACUCUUUCUUAGUAAAUAUUUCUGUAUCCGUAAAGCUUGGAUGUGGUGAUGCCAAAGAUGAUUCCCAUGAUGGUACAUGCAUUGAUGUCGGUGGUGCAACUAAAGUAGAAGAUCUUGUCACGACAAGUUUUAAAAUUUUAAGUGCUUCCUUCCAAUGAGGUCCCUAUUAAAAGAAUCGUAGAUAGAAUUUAGAAGUCAACUUUUCAUUAUUAAAAAAUUUUUUUUUUUAACAAAGAAUAACUUACUUCAACGUAUUUUGAAAUAACUUGCAAGAGUUCAGUGUUGAUCGGUUGAGCUGCUUGCGAUGCGAGAUCAACAUAAUGCAAUAUACAGUGUAUGAUACUGAGUACAGGUAACGCAACGCUUCCUGGACCUUUUUCUAAUACCUCGACCAGAAAGGCUAACAUAUCAAAGCUCAAAUGAGCGUAUGUAUCGUAAAGAUAUUUAACAACACACUUAGUCCAUUGAAAGCUUUCUUUACUAAAUGUACGACGACUGUACAAAGUCAUAACAGUCCCCAAAUUUUCUAAUUUCUUCCCUUUUUCUGCACUUACCUAUAAGCGGAUGCAUAGUGUAAAUUAUGUAACAAUAUUCGAAUAUAUGUAAAGAUAAUGAACAAUUGAAAGAUAAUUACUUGUGCUAUAUUUUCUGCACUUCUUAUACACAACUCAUUUGCAUCUUCAUAAUGUAACAGCAUGUAUGGAAGUAAAGAAACCACAUUCAUUGGAAAUGCUAAACUUUGGGUGGGAUCAACCACUGGUAAAUCCAAUAACGGAGUAAACUGUGAAAGUAAUGUUACAACUGGCUCGUAUGUAUUUGGACUUGUACACCCCUUCAACAUAAGUGCAUGUACUCCAGGAAAAGAGUUCCAUCUUAAUUGUUGUUGUAAUUUUUCAACUUUAUCUCUAGCAUCUGGACGAUCCAACGGUAACCUAUGAAGUACUCGACUUAAUAAUCUCAAAGCGAGAAGAAAUUCAUGUUCAUAGUCCGAUUCCAAAAGUGAAACCGAUAACCAAAACAGCUGUGCUAAAAUUGUCAUCUUAUCAUCUUGGGUCGCAGAAUCGCCUAAUAAUUUCAAAGAUUGUGCUGAUCUUGAUCUCGAAAGAUUAGAAUUCGGAUAUUUGUUACAAACUCCUCUGUUAUCUAAUUCUAUAAAAAAGAAAAAAAAAAGAAAAAAAAAGAAA